UACGGAGGGUGCAAGCGUUAUCCGGAUUCACUGGGCUUAAAGGGUGCGUAGGCGGGCAGGCAAGUCCGUGGUGAAAUCUCUGAGCUUAACUCAGAAACUGCCAUGGAUACUAUUUGUCUUGAAUGUUGUGGAGGUAAGCGGAAUAUGUCAUGUAGCGGUGAAAUGCUUAGAUAUGACAUAGAACACCAAUUGCGAAGGCAGCUUACUACACAAAUAUUGACGCUGAGGCACGAAAGCGUGGGGAUCAAACAGG
rnacentral:rRNA from 1 species